rnacentral:rRNA from 1 species
UACGUAGGGGGCAAGCGUUGUCCGGAAUCAUUGGGCGUAAAGAGCGUGUAGGCGGUCCGGUAAGUCGGCUGUGAAAGUCCAGGGCUCAACCCUGGGGAUGCCGGUCGAUACUGCCGGACUAGAGUUCGGAAGAGGCGAGUGGAAUUCCCGGUGUAGCGGUGAAAUGCGCAGAUAUCGGGAGGAACACCUAUGGCGAAGGCAGCUCGCUGGGACGUUACUGACGCUGAGAACGCGAAAGCGUGGGGAGCAAACAGG